AGACAAUAGAUACCCCGGUAGUCCACGCCGUAAACGUUGGGACACUAGGUGUGGGGCCUUAUCAACGGGUUCCGUGCCGCAGCUAAACGCAAAUAAGUGCCCCGCCUGGGGAGUACGGCCGCGAAGGCUAAAACUCAAAGGAAUUGACGGGGCCCGCACAAGGCGGCGGAGCAUGUGGCUUAAUUCGGUAAUGCGACGCGAAGAACCUUACCUGGGCCUUGAACUACGCGGGAAAAGCCGUAGAGAUACGGUGUCCGUAAGGGUCCGCGAUAGGUGGUGCAUGGCUGUCGUCAGCUCGUGUCGUGAGAUGUUGGGUUAAAGUCCCGCAACGAGCGCAACCCUUGUCCUAUGUUGCCAGCGGGUUAUGCCGGGGACGUCGUAGGAGACUGCCGGGGUCAACUCGGAGGAAGUGGGACGACGUCAAGUCAUCAUGCCCCGUUAUGUCCAGGGACUGCACACACUGCUA
rnacentral:rRNA from 1 species